AAAAUGGAAACUAUUGCUUCCUGACCUAUCCGCUAUCCAAAUCUAUACACUGCUGAAAGAGGUGCUUCCAUCUCCCUAAUCGUUCCCGGAAGGACUCUGGCCGCUUCAGUGUGCUGCUGCAGCUGCGAUUGGACCCAAGAGGAAGAAGGUGAACCAGUCAAAGAAAUGCAGUUGCCUCUCCGGUGAAGGAUUUUUGCUGGAAGAGGAAACAAUAAUAUUCUACUGCUUCCAAUGAAGCACAUGGGGCCACCAGUGAUAACUUCCUUCUCCGGCUGACUCAUCAUUUGCAGUACCCCUGAGCUCUCCAAUUCAAUUUGCAGCUUCUCUGGCCACACUAAAGCCACUGGGCUGAGAAUAUGACACUAUCAAGUGUGGCGGGCCAGGGUCUCCUCCUUCCCAUCGUCUCUCUGCUUUUAGGGAAACUUCUGCACGGACAAGAAAUGCACAGUGAAAUAGAGGAUGGG